UACGUAGGGUGCAAGCGUUGUCCGGAUUUAUUGGGCGUAAAGAGCUCGUAGGCGGCCAUGUAGGUCCGUUGUGAAAACUCGAGGCUCAACCUCGAGACGCCGAUGGAAACCAUGUGGCUAGAGUCCGGAAGAGGAGAGUGGAAUUCCUGGUGUAGCGGUGAAAUGCGCAGAUAUCAGGAAGAACACCCGUGGCUAAGGCGGCUCUCUAGUACGGUACUGACGCUGAGACGCGAAAGCGUGGGGAGCAAACAGG
rnacentral:rRNA from 1 species